rnacentral:rRNA from 1 species
GAUGAACGCUGGCGGCGUGCCUAAUACAUGCAAGUCGAGCGAACAGAUGAGGAGCUUGCUCCUCUGACGUUAGCGGCGGACGGGUGAGUAACACGUGGAUAACCUACCUAUAAGACUGGGAUAACUUCGGGAAACCGGAGCUAAUACCGGAUAAUAUAUUGAACCGCAUGGUUCAAUAGUGAAAGACGGUUUUGCUGUCACUUAUAGAUGGAUCCGCGCCGCAUUAGCUAGUUGGUAAGGUAACGGCUUACCAAGGCAACGAUGCGUAGCCGACCUGAGAGGGUGAUCGGCAACACUGGAACUGAGACACGGUCCAGACUCCUACGGGAGGCAGCAGUAGGGAAUCUUCCGCAAUGGGCGAAAGCCUGACGGAGCAACGCCGCGUGAGUGAUGAAGGUCUUCGGAUCGUAAACCUCUGUUAUUAGGGAAGAACAAUGUGUAAGUAACUAUGCACGUCUUGACGGUACCUAAUCAGAAAGCCACGGCUAACUACGUG